UGGUGUGCUCGUCCAGUACCCGGGGACUGAGGGCGAAGUCCUCGACUACGCUGGGUUCAUCAAGGACGCACACGCACAUGGUGUGAAAGUUGUCAUGGCCACCGAUCUUCUUGCACUCACCGUUCUCAAGCCACCCGGCGAGCUCGGUGCUGACAUUGUUGUUGGCUCGGCGCAGCGGUUCGGCGUCCCGAUGGGCUACGGUGGUCCCCACGCUGCCUUCCUCGCCACCUCCCAGGAGUAUAAGCGGAUGAUGCCGGGGCGAAUUAUUGGUGUCAGUGUCGACUCCACCGGCAAGCCGGCUCUGCGGAUGGCGAUGCAGACUCGUGAGCAGCACAUUCGGAGAGACAAGGCGACAAGCAAUAUCUGCACCGCCCAGGCGUUGCUGGCAAACAUGGCGGCGAUGUAUGCUGUGUACCAUGGGCCAGAAGGGCUUAAGGCGAUUGCACAGCGGGUGCAUGGCCUUGCGGGUACGUUUGCACUCGGUGUGAAGAAGCUAGGGACUGCAAAGGUGCAGGACCUUCCAUUUUUUGACACUGUGAAGGUUACUUGUGACAAUGCGCAGGCA
rnacentral:misc_RNA from 1 species